UAUUUAGUGCAUGGAAUAAUAGAAUAUGAUCUCGGUUCUAUUUUGUUGGUUUUCAGAACUCCGAGGUAAUGAUUAAUAGGGAUAACUGGGGGCAUUCGUAUUGCGACGUUAGAGGUGAAAUUCUUGGAUCGUCGCAAGACGAACAUCAGCGAAAGCAUUUGCCAAAGGUGUUUUCAUCAAUCAAGAACGAAAGUUAGAGGUUCGAAGGCGAUUAGAUACCGCCCUAGUUCUAACCGUAAAUAUGUCGUCUAGCGAUCCGCCGACGUUACUACAAUGGCUCGGCGGGCAGCUUCCGGGAAACC
rnacentral:rRNA from 2 species